rnacentral:tRNA from 1 species
GGAGGGGUACUCAAGCGGCCAACGAGGGCAGACUGUAAAUCUGCUGGCUUUACGCCUACGAAGGUUCGAAUCCUUCCCCCUCCACCA